GUGGAUGUAGCUCAAUCGGUAGAGCACCAGGUUGUGGUCCUGGGUGUCGUGGGUUCGACUCCCAUCAUCCACC
rnacentral:tRNA from 1 species